rnacentral:rRNA from 1 species
CACGCAGGCGGUUAUGCAAGUCUGAUGUGAAAUCUCCGGGCUCAACUCGGAAUCCGCGUUGGAAACUGCAUGACUAGAGUAUUAGAGGGGGAGUCGGAAUUCCUAGUGUAGGGGUGAAAUCUGUUGAUAUUAGGAAGAACACCGGUGGCGAAGGCGGACUCCUGGCUGAAUACUGACGCUGAGGUGCGAAAGCAUAGGGAGCAAACAGGAUUAGAUACCCUGGUAGUCUAUGCUGUAAACGAUGUGCACUUGGUGUUGGGCCGAUUAGGUUCAGUGCCGUAGCUAACGCGAUAAGUGCACCGCCUGGGGAGUAUGCCCGCAAGGGUGAA